rnacentral:rRNA from 1 species
AUGGCCAAGAGUGGGCGAGUGGUGCUCUUAAAGGCAAAUCUAAUACCUCUAAUGAUCUACAUGAUGACCGUGCACAAACUACCGGCUUGGGUGCUAAAACGCAUGGUACAAAUCUGCCGGGCAUGGCUGUGGAAUGGAGAUAGCACUUGUAACGGCGGCCAAUGCAGAGUGGCAUGGAGCCAAAUAUGCAGGCCUAAGCACCUCGGCGGCCUAGGAGUCGUGGAUUUUGCGAAGUUCGGCGCCGCGCUGCGUCUUCGAUGGUUGUGGCUUGCGUGGCGGGAUCCGGAACGGCCUUGGGCUCAAUCUCCGUUACCUUGUGAUUCGGCCGACCGCAUGCUGUUUUGUAUGGCCACUGACAUCAAAAUUGGCGAUGGAAGGCUGGCGAGGUUCUGGCACGACAGAUGGUUGAAUGGUCAGUGCCCCAAAGUCAUUGCUCCGGGCCUCUUCAAGAUCUCUGCAAGGAAAAAACAGAUCGGUUCACGAGGCCAUCCAGGGCGAAACAUGGCUGUCAGACCUGUCCCGUGGUCUCGAUGUGCAUCUGAUCGCGAAGCUAACAGGGCUGGCUUCGCUCCUGGAGAACGUUAA